GUCCUGGUUCUCUGGAAAAAGGUUGGACACUCUCAAAAUGCCUUUUUUGAGUAGGGCCACAGCUCGUCCUGACAGGACAAUGAGGGGCUCCCAGAGUUGAUGGGAAGAGCAGGAGUGGGGGUUUUGAUUGCCACCAAGCUUCUCUAAUCCCUCGCCCUCAGCGAUGACACACUGGAGUUACCCAGGCUGUAAGGGCUCGUGGCCUCAACCUUGGCAUUUAUGAGCCUGAAUCAGCAGGGAGGAGACCAACUUCAGAAGCUUUGGCAGCAGUGCCUGAGACCCAGGAGCUCUGAAGGGGGACCUACUCAUGACGUUCAGGCCAUGGCCACCUUGGACCUGUUUUCCCUGAAGAGCCCCAGAGCACACUGCUUGGCUCCACACCAAUCUGAACUUCUAGCUUUAGGCUCCGGCCCCUGCCUGUGAAGACCCCAUCUUAGUUGGCACUGCCCACAGCCUGGGAGGGUCCACUACCCCUCACUGGGUUUGGCACUUCAGAAGGCCACACAUCCUCCACCACAGGAUUGAAUAGAAA
rnacentral:lncRNA from 1 species